rnacentral:rRNA from 1 species
UGCGUAGGUGGUCGGGUAAGUCUGAUGUGAAAUCUCCGAGCUUAACUCGGAAAUGGCAUUGGAUACUAUUCGGCUAGAGGGUUUGAGGGGGGACUGGAAUACUUGGUGUAGCAGUGAAAUGCGUAGAUAUCAAGUGGAACACCAGUGGCGAAGGCGAGUCCCUGGAAAACUCCUGACACUGAGGCACGAAAGCUAGGGGAGCAAACAGGAUUAGAUACCCUGGUAGUCCUAGCUGUAAACGGUGCAUAUUUGCUGUAAAAGGAAUCGACCCCUUUUGUGGCGUAGCAAACGCGUUAAAUAUGCCGCCUGGGAAGUACGGUCGCAAGAUUAAA